UACGUAGGUGACAAGCGUUGUCCGGAUUUACUGGGCGUAAAGCGUGCGCAGGCGGUUAUGUAAGACAGGUGUGAAAUCCCAGGGCUUAACCUUGGAACUGCAUUUGUGACUGCAUAGCUAGAGUACGGUAGAGGGGGAUGGAAUUCCGCGUGUAGCAGUGAAAUGCGUAGAUAUGCGGAGGAACACCGAUGGCGACGGCAAUCCCCUGGACCUGUACUGACGCUCAUGCACGAAAGCGUGGGGAGCAAACAGG
rnacentral:rRNA from 1 species